CCCCAACACUUGGCACCUUAUUUUUCUUCUUCUUCUUCCUUUUCUCAGAGGGAUGACAUCCAUCUGAAGAAGAUGCUCCCACUACAUUCACCGUCUUCUUAUGGAACUGGUGAUCUUUCUCAAAAGUCUGUAGCAACCCCAACAGAUAGUGGUAGUUUACUACAAGCUUUGUCAUUCAAUAAUGACUGAGAAACGGUAAGUAGGAUUUCAAUAGGGAUUUCAGAAUCGCAUCUUUCUUAAGCUGCUUGUGCAAGAAAAAGUCGAGCUUGCUAAAGCAC
rnacentral:lncRNA from 1 species